AGAGUUUGAUCCUGGCUCAGGAUAAACGCUGGCGGCGUGCAUAAAACAUGCAAGUCGAACGGACAGUUUUCGGACUGUCAGUGGCGAACGGCUGAGUAACACGUAAGUGACCUACCCUUGAGUGGGGAAUAACUGCUCGAAAGAGUGGCUAAUACCGCAUACGCUCCCGUCUUCGUUGAUGGGAGUAAAGCCGAAAGGCGCUUGAGGAUGGGCUUGCGGCCGAUUAGCUAGUUGGUGGGGUAAAGGCCUACCAAGGCGAUGAUCGGUAGCUGGUCUGAGAGGAUGAUCAGCCAGACUGGGACUGCGACACGGCCCAGACUCCUACGGGAGACAGCAGUUAGGAAUUUUGCGCAAUGGACGAAAGUCUGACGCAGCAACGCCGCGUGGGGGAUGAAGGUCUUCGGAUCGUAAACCUCUUUUCUGAGGGAAGAUAGUGACGGUACCUCAGGAAUAAGCCCCGGCUAACUACGUGCCAGCAGCCGCGGUAAUACGUAGGGGGCGAGCGUUGUCCGGAUUUAUUGGGCGUAAAGAGCGCGUAGGCGGCUGUCCAAGUCGUGCGUGAAAUACUCCGGCUCAACUGGAGUAGGUCGUGCGAUACUGGGUGGCUUGAGGUCGGUAGGGGGAAGUGGAGUUCCCGGUGUAGUGGUGGAAUGCGUAGAUAUCGGGAGGAACACCAGUGGCGAAGGCGGCUUCCUGGACCGAUCCUGACGCUGAGGCGCGAAAGCGUGGGGAGCGAACUGAAUUAGAUACUCAGGUAGUCCACGCUGUAAACUAUGGGUGCUAGGUGUCGGGGGUAUCGACCCCUCCGGUGCCGGAGCUAACGCAUUAAGCACCCCGCCUGGGGAGUACGGCCGCAAGGCUAAAACUCAAAGGAAUUGACGG
rnacentral:rRNA from 1 species